rnacentral:rRNA from 1 species
AGGGCGCACGGUGGAUGCCUUGACACUAGGAGUCGAUGAAGGACGGGACUAACGCCGAUAUGCUUCGGGGAGCUGUAAGUAAGCUUUGAUCCGAAGAUUUCCGAAUGGGGAAACCCACCAUACGUAAUGGUAUGGUAUCCUUAUCUGAAUACAUAGGGUAAGGAAGACAGACCCAGGGAACUGAAACAUCUAAGUACCUGGAGGAAGAGAAAGCAAAUGCGAUUUCCUGAGUAGCGGCGAGCGAAACGGAACAUAGCCCAAACCAAGAGGCUUGCCUCUUGGGGUUGUAGGACAUUCUAUACGGAGUUACAAAGGAACGAGGUAGACGAAGCGACCUGGAAAGGUCCGUCGUAGAGGGUAACAACCCCGUAGUCGAAACUUCGUUCUCUCUUGAAUGUAUCCUGAGUACGGCGGAACACGUGAAAUUCCGUCGGAAUCUGGGAGGACCAUCUCCCAAGGCUAAAUACUCCCUAGUGAUCGAUAGUGAACCAGUACCGUGAGGGAAAGGUGAAAAGCACCCCGGAAGGGGAGUGAAAGAGAUCCUGAAACCGUGUGCCUACAAAUAGUCAGAGCCCGUUAAUGGGUGAUGGUGUGCCUUUUGUAGAAUGAACCGGCGAGUUACGAUCCCGUGCGAGGUUAAGCUGAAGAGGCGGAGCCGCAGCGAAAGCGAGUCUGAAUAGGGCGUUUAGUACGUGGUCGUAGACCCGAAACCAGGUGAUCUACCCAUGUCCAGGGUGAAGUUCAGGUAACACUGAAUGGAGGCCCGAACCCACGCACGUUGAAAAGUGCGGGGAUGAGGUGUGGGUAGCGGAGAAAUUCCAAUCGAACCUGGAGAUAGCUGGUUCUCCCCGAAAUAGCUUUAGGGCUAGCCUUAAGUGUAAGAGUCUUGGAGGUAGAGCACUGAUUGGACUAGGGGUCCUCAUCGGAUUACCGAAUUCAGUCAAACUCCGAAUGCCAAUGACUUAUCCUUAGGAGUCAGACUGCGAGUGAUAAGAUCCGUAGUCAAAAGGGAAACAGCCCAGACCGCCAGCUAAGGUCCCAAAGUGUGUAUUAAGUGGAAAAGGAUGUGGAGUUGCUUAGACAACUAGGAUGUUGGCUUAGAAGCAGCCACCAUUUAAAGAGUGCGUAAUAGCUCACUAGUCGAGUGACUCUGCGCCGAAAAUGUACCGGGGCUAAAUACACCACCGAAGCUGCGGAUUGAUACCAAUGGUAUCAGUGGUAGGGGAGCGUUCUAAGGACAGUGAAGUCAGACCGGAAGGACUGGUGGAGUGCUUAGAAGUGAGAAUGCCGGUAUGAGUAGCGAAAGACGGGUGAGAAUCCCGUCCACCGAAUGCCUAAGGUUUCCUGAGGAAGGCUCGUCCGCUCAGGGUUAGUCAGGACCUAAGCCGAGGCCGACAGGCGUAGGCGAUGGACAACAGGUUGAUAUUCCUGUACCACCUCUUUAUCGUUUGAGCAAUGGAGGGACGCAGAAGGAUAGAAGAAGCGUGCGAUUGGUUGUGCACGUCCAAGCAGUUAGGCUGAUAAGUAGGCAAAUCCGCUUAUCGUGAAGGCUGAGCUGUGAUGGGGAAGCUCCUUAUGGAGCGAAGUCUUUGAUUCCCCGCUGCCAAGAAAAGCUUCUAGCGAGAUAAAAGGUGCCUGUACCGCAAACCGACACAGGUAGGCGAGGAGAGAAUCCUAAGGUGUGCGAGAGAACUCUGGUUAAGGAACUCGGCAAAAUGACCCCGUAACUUCGGGAGAAGGGGUGCUUUCUUAACGGAAAGCCGCAGUGAAUAGGCCCAAGCGACUGUUUAGCAAAAACACAGCUCUCUGCGAAGCCGUAAGGCGAAGUAUAGGGGGUGACACCUGCCCGGUGCUGGAAGGUUAAGGAGAGGGGUUAGCGUAAGCGAAGCUCUGAACUGAAGCCCCAGUAAACGGCGGCCGUAACUAUAACGGUCCUAAGGUAGCGAAAUUCCUUGUCGGGUAAGUUCCGACCCGCACGAAAGGUGUAACGAUUUGGGCACUGUCUCAACCAGAGACUCGGUGAAAUUAUAGUACCUGUGAAGAUGCAGGUUACCCGCGACAGGACGGAAAGACCCCGUGGAGCUUUACUGUAGCCUGAUAUUGAAUUUUGGUACAGUUUGUACAGGAUAGGCGGGAGCCUUUGAAACCGGAGCGCUAGCUUCGGUGGAGGCGCUGGUGGGAUACCGCCCUGACUGUAUUGAAAUUCUAACCUACGGGUCUUAUCGACCCGGGAGACAGUGUCAGGUGGGCAGUUUGACUGGGGCGGUCGCCUCCUAAAGUGUAACGGAGGCGCCCAAAGGUUCCCUCAGAAUGGUUGGAAAUCAUUCGUAGAGUGCAAAGGCAUAAGGGAGCUUGACUGCGAGACCUACAAGUCGAGCAGGGACGAAAGUCGGGCUUAGUGAUCCGGUGGUUCCGCAUGGAAGGGCCAUCGCUCAACGGAUAAAAGCUACCCCGGGGAUAACAGGCUUAUCUCCCCCAAGAGUCCACAUCGACGGGGAGGUUUGGCACCUCGAUGUCGGCUCAUCGCAUCCUGGGGCUGUAGUCGGUCCCAAGGGUUGGGCUGUUCGCCCAUUAAAGCGGUACGCGAGCUGGGUUCAGAACGUCGUGAGACAGUUCGGUCCCUAUCCGUCGUGGGCGUAGGAAAUUUGAGAGGAGCUGUCCUUAGUACGAGAGGACCGGGAUGGACGCACCGCUGGUGUACCAGUUGUUCUGCCAAGGGCAUAGCUGGGUAGCUAUGUGCGGAAGGGAUAAGUGCUGAAAGCAUCUAAGCAUGAAGCCCCCCUCAAGAUGAGAUUUCCCAUAGCGUAAGCUAGU